GACAGAGGAUGCAAGCGUUAUCCGGAAUGAUUGGGCGUAAAGCGUCUGUAGGUGGCUUUUUAAGUCCGCCGUCAAAUCCCAGGGCUCAACCCUGGACAGGCGGUGGAAACUACCAAGCUGGAGUACGGUAGGGGCAGAGGGAAUUUCCGGUGGAGCGGUGAAAUGCGUAGAUAUCGCCUGGAACGCCGAAGGUGAAAACAGUCUGCUGGGGGCGCACCGACGCUGAGACACGAAAGCCAGGGGAGCGAACGGG
rnacentral:rRNA from 1 species